ensembl:lncRNA
CUCUAAAAGUACGGCCUGUAAAGGUAGGGCCCAUAAAGGUACGGCCUCUAAAAGUACGGCCUGUAAAGGUAGGGCCCAUAAAGGUACGGCCCGUAAAGGUACGGCCUCUAAAGGUACGGCCCAUAAAGGUACGGCCUGUAAAGGUACGGCCUCUAAAGGUACGGCCCAUAAAGGUACGGCCUGUAAAGGUAGGGCCCAUAAAGGUACGGCCCAUAAAGGUACGGCCUGUAAAGGUAGGGCCCAUAAAGGUACGGCCCGUAAAGGUACGGCCUGUAAAGGUAUGGCCCAUAAAGGUAGGGCCCAUAAAGGUACGGCCUCUAAAGGUACGGCCCAGCCAACUUAAUCCCAACGUUCCCUUAAAUGCUGUGAUGCAGGGAGGGGGAUGCGGUGCUUUGCAUUGCAUCAAUGUAUGAAAGGAAGUGAACAAAACACAAGCAAAGCCUGCGGCGUCCAAUCGUCCAACACCCUGGAGACUCAGAGACAUUCAACCAACCGCCUCCGUCUGUCAUGAGACCCGGACAUACCGUCGCGCACUCACAGACACACCCCUGAGCCGGCUAUGUAAUAAUCCAACUCCUCCGACUCGUUAUAUCAGCACCUCCU